UUUAAAGUGUAAUGUAAGUCGCUUUGGAUAAAAGCGUCUGCUAAAUGAUCUGUA
rfam:Gasterosteus aculeatus cont1.011203, whole genome shotgun sequence.